rnacentral:rRNA from 1 species
GACGAACCGUGCGAACGUUAUUCGGAAUCACUGGGCUUAAAGCGCGUGUAGGCGGGACGGCACGUCGGUCGCUGAAAUCCCCCGGCUCAACCGGGGAACGGGCGCCGAUACGACCGUCCUCGAGGGACGUAGGGGGACCUGGAACUUCCGGUGGAGCGGUGAAAUGCGUUGAGAUCGGAAGGAACGCCCGUGGCGAAAGCGAGGUCCUGGACGUUUUCUGACGCUGAGACGCGAAAGCCAGGGGAGCGAA